UCCAGAUUAUUUCACUUAUAAACGGGAAAAAUGUUUUAAGAGAAUUUUUCUGGCGGUGGACGUAAUAUUAAGGGAUUAUUUUUCUUAAAACGAGCUUCUAUAUCUCGCUAAAAGCUACUCAUAAGUUACAUUUGCCAUAUUUCAACAAGUAAUAUAUUUGCGAUAGAAAAUAGAUCUAAAACACUUGGUAAGAUUUUGUGUUUUUGCAGUGCUCUCCUCUCUCUCAGCUUUAAAUGUAAAACUUGAUUAAACUGGAUCUAAAGUUCCCCGGCUAAUUAUUUUUCCCAGUUAAUUAUGUCCCCUGCAGACGGGAUUGAUGAGGCCAUUCUGCGUUGAAAGAAUCUCUCUGAGCUGAUUGAACCGGGGGAGAGUUGACCCCCUCCGACCUCCAUAACAAUACAUGAUUAUCACAAGUGGAUCUGCUGAGUGACUGCGGAUGAUUAGUACCUCCGUUGUUGCUUUGCAUCGCCGCCGAGACAAAAGCUACAUUUGUCUAAUGGUGAAUUUUCCUCCGUUUUCCAGCGUUCAUUAAAUCCAUUAGACCAAAUUACUUGCUGCCAMUGAUGCGCUGCCUGCUAGCCUUGAUUUAAGGAAGAAGAGCUAAAAGAGCCUGAGUCCGAUGUGAAGGAGGCAAUAACUGUAGGGUGAUGCUUCAUGUUCAGCCAAACCAACCUGCCAGGUGGGGGCUCGCAUAUUAGAUCCAUAAUUCACUACAUGGAUUGAAUUUCCUCACUGGAUUUGGAGCAAAGCAAGAUCCAUCAAAAGAGCCGGGGAGACCUCAGUGACCCUGAAAUUCAACAAAUAGAGCAACAUUCUGAUUUAUGAUA